CAGCAACUUAAGCAAGACUCUGUCUCAAAAUAAAAAUAAAUAAAAAUUAUUAAGGAUGUAGCUCAGUGGUAAAGCACCCUUGGCUUCAAUCUCCAGUACCAAAACAGAAAAAGAAAAAAAUAUCAUAACCACAUUGUAGACAUGGUCGUGUUGGCAAUGGGAGUCCUUUGAGGGAUCUGAGCAAGGAAGCAGUAUGAUCACUUUGGUCUUGGAAUUAUACUAAAGGAGGACAAGAGUGGGAGUUUAGGAGUCUUUUGCAGUAGUACAGAGGAGACGUGUCUUGAACUACAGUAAUAGGAAUGGAGAUGAUGAAAAUUAUCCAUAUUUGAUACAUAUUUUGAAAAUAAACCAUAAGAUGGUCAUGAGAAAGUAAAGAGAGAAAUCAAAAAUUAGUCCUAUGUUUGGGGUUCUGAGCAACUUAAUGAAGCUGAUAUGAGCAUGCCGGGGCCUUGGCAGGGAACGACUUUGGAGGGAAAAAAUCAAAACAAUGUGUUUGUGAUACCUAUGACAAAUUAAAUUGGAAAUCCAAAGCAAUUAAAUUUAGAAGUAUAGAGAUCCCAGAGAAGUCAAAUCUGAGAUAUAAAUUUCACAGUCAAUCAAGGUGAUGUUUUUAAUGCCAUUAGAUGCUAUGUUGUACUCAAACAACCCAUUUAAAAAUAGCCUCACUAGAUAAUCAAAGAAAAGGGAGACAAUGAAAACUCAGAAAAGCAGAAAUUUGAUUAUCCCAAAAAGAAUCAGCAUGUUCAAGGCCAGAGUGAUCUGUAUGGCUUUGGGGAAAAAAAAAAUCCUCAUUUACAGACAUGGAGACACCCAAGGUCAGAAGUAGGCUCGGGCAUCCUGAAAGGUCAAAGGCAUACGGACUUAGCUCACCUAUAAGGUCUACUAAGAGGCCCAUAGGGUUGAAGCCUCUCCAACCUGAGCAUUUUGGAUCCUAGGAAUUGCAAGUUUCCCUGACAGAUAUUAACUAUGGUUUUAGUAUGAAAAACUAGUGUCACCCAACCUCAGGCACCAAGGGUGGGGCAAGGCAGGUGUCGUUAAUGGAUAUAAAGUGCCAGUGCCAGGUGUGGGUAACAAGCAGUUUUUCUUUUCUCUUCAAUAAAAAACAGAAAUACACACACAAGGCAGCUUAGAUUUAUGAUUUAGAUUAAUCACCACUGCUCUCCCAACUGAAUGAUGACUGGUAGUUAAAGAAAGAUGAACCCAUUAUUGACUCAUUGAUUCCUAACUGUAUCCUCUGCUCUGGUUCCCCAACAAAUUCACCAGCCUCCUUCUCUCCUACAAAAUAGAAAAUCCAGUUUUACUGACGGGGAAAUGUGAAUCACUGUGGCAAAAAUGAAAGAUACAGUCAGUCCAGAAAAGAAAUGAUGUUUGGAUAAUCUGUGAACCUUGAGAUUAGCUUGUUCAAGAGAACUUUGCUCACUGACUGUACAGAUCUUUAGAGAUAAUAUGAAUUGAAUGAGAUUUAAUUAUGCAGUGAUUUCUCAAGCUGGAAAGAUGCAAAGUCUUGGUGUGCCCUGGGUUGCAGCCCUCUUUUCCUGCUAAGAACCGUCCUUUCCCAUAGUCCUUGCUUACAGUGUUGCAAAAAAGUUGACACUAACCAAGACCAUUAUUAUGUCACCUGUGUUUUAUCUUAUUUGCCUUCACAAGAUUUAGGAAAGCACUUAGC
rnacentral:lncRNA from 1 species